UACGUAGGUGGCAAGCGUUGUCCGGAUUUACUGGGCGUAAAGGAUGCGUAGGCGGACAUUUAAGUCAGAUGUGAAAUACCCGAGCUUAACUUGGGUGCUGCAUUUGAAACUGGGUGUCUAGAGUGCGGGAGAGGUAAGUGGAAUUCCUAGUGUAGCGGUGAAAUGCGUAGAGAUUAGGAAGAACACCAGUGGCGAAGGCGACUUACUGGACUGUAACUGACGCUGAGGCAUGAAAGCGUGGGGAGCAAACAG
rnacentral:rRNA from 1 species